rnacentral:sRNA from 1 species
GUCGUUAUUCUCGCCAUCCAGCCGGUGGUGGGUUAGCGCGCGUCCGAACGGUCCCGAAGCAACCCGCCCCGAGAGGCGGGUUUU